AACGAACGCUGGCGGCAGGCCUAACACAUGCAAGUCGAACGCCGUAGCAAUACGGAGUGGCAGACGGGUGAGUAACACGUGGGAACGUACCCUUCGGUUCGGAAUAACUCAGGGAAACUUGAGCUAAUACCGGAUACGUCCGAGAGGAGAGAGAUUUAUCGCCGAGGGAUCGGCCCGCGUCUGAUUAGCUUGUUGGUGAGGUAACGGCUCACCAAGGCGACGAUCAGUAGCUGGCUGAGAGGAUGAUCAGCCACAUUGGGAAACUGAGACACGG
rnacentral:rRNA from 1 species